rnacentral:rRNA from 1 species
CUAGCAUAUCAAUAAGCGGAGGAAAAGAAACUAACAAGGAUUCCCCUAGUAACUGCGAGUGAAGCGGGAAAAGCUCAAAUUUAAAAUCUGGCAGUCUUUGGCUGUCCGAGUUGUAAUCUGGAGAAGUGUUUUCCGCGCUGGACCGUGUACAAGUCUCUUGGAAUAGAGCGUCAUAGAGGGUGAGAAUCCCGUCUUUGACACGGACUACCAGUGCUUUGUGAUGCGCUUUCAAAGAGUCGAGUUGUUUGGGAAUGCAGCUCAAAAUGGGUGGUAAAUUCCAUCUAAAGCUAAAUAUUGGCGAGAGACCGAUAGCGAACAAGUACCGUGAGGGAAAGAUGAAAAGCACUUUGGAAAGAGAGUUAAACAGUACGUGAAAUUGCUGAAAGGGAAACGCUUGAAGUCAGUCGCGUUGUUCAGAACUCAGCCUGGCUUUGGCUUGGUGCAUUUUCUGAAUAACGGGCCAGCAUCAAUUUUGACUGUUGGAUAAAGGCCAGGGAAAUGUGGCUCCCUUGGGAGUGUUAUAGUCCUUGGUUGCAUACAAUGGUUGGGAUUGAGGAACUCAGCAUGCCUUUAUGGGUCGGGGUUCGCCCACGUUCAUGCUUAGGAUGCUGGCGUAAUGGCUUUAAACGACCCGUCUUGAAACACGGACCAAGGAGUCUAACAUGCCUGCGAGUGUUUGGGUGGGAAAACCCGAGCGCGCAAUGAAAGUGAAAGUUGGGAUCUCUGUCGUGGAGAGCACCAAUGCCCGGACCAGACCUUCUGUGACGGCUCCGCGGUAGAGCAUGUAUGUUGGGACCCGAAAGAUGGUGAACUAUGCCUGAAUAGGGUGAAGCCAGAGGAAACUCUGGUGGAGGCUCGUAGCGAUUCUGACGUGCAAAUCGAUCGUCAAAUUUGGGGUAUAGGGGCGAAAGACUAAUCGAACAUCUAGUAGCUGGUCCUGCGGCUU